CCCUUAGAUGUUCGGGGCCGCACGCGCGCUACACUGAUGGGGUCAGCGUGUUUGCACGUCCUGGUCCGGCAGGAUUGGGCAAUCCGUUGAACCUCCGUCGUGAUUGGGAUCGGAGCUUGUAAUUAUUCUCCGUGAACGAGGAAUUCCCAGUAAGCGCAAGUCAUCAGCUUGCGUUGAUUACGUCCCUGCCCUUUGUACACACCGCCCGUCGCUCCUACCGAUUGAGUGAUCCGGUGAGGCUCUGGGACCUGGACGGAAAGAGCGUUUCGCUUGUUCUGUUUGGGAAACUUGGUCGAACCUUAUCAUUUAGAGGAAGGAGAAGUCGUAACA
rnacentral:rRNA from 1 species